rnacentral:rRNA from 1 species
UACAGAGGGGGCAAGCGUUGUUCGGAAUUACUGGGCGUAAAGGGCGCGUAGGCGGCCUGCUAAGUCGAACGUGAAAUCCCCGGGCUCAACCCGGGAACUGCGUCCGAUACUGGUAGGCUUGAAUUCGGGAGAGGGAUGCGGAAUUCCAGGUGUAGCGGUGAAAUGCGUAGAUAUCUGGAGGAACACCGGUGGCAAAGGCGGCAUCCUGGCCUGUUCUUGACGCUGAGGCGCGAAAGCUAGGGGAGCAAACGGG